rnacentral:rRNA from 1 species
AUGGAGCACCUCACAGCACUAAAGAGACUGGAUAUAGAUUCAAGCAAGAAUAUAGUGUCGCUUCCAACACUGCCCAAGUCUCUUGAGGAGAUUAACGUCAGGAACUGCAGCAGGGAUGCCUUACGAGGAAAUAUGGAGCACCUCACAUCGCUCAAGAAAUUUGAGAUCUGGAAUUGCAAGAAUAUGCAGUCGCUCCCAACACUGCCCAAGUCUCUUGACGAGUUUAAAGUCGGGGCCUGCAGCUUCAAUGCCUUGCCAGGCAAUAUUGAGCACAUCACAUCACUCAGGAGACUGGAUAUACAGUCAUGCGAGAAUAUGCGGUUGCUUCCAACACUUCCAAAGUCUCUUGAGGAGUUUAUCAUCUUUAACUGCAGCUUGGAUACCUUACCAGGCAAUAUGGAACACCUCACAACACUCAAGAAACUGAGUAUCUGUAUCUGCAUGAAUAUGCGGUUGCUUCCAACACUGCCCAAUUCCCUUGAUGAGUUUAUCGUUAAGGACUGCGGCUUGAAUGCCUUACCAGGCAAUAUGGAGCAACUCACAUCACUCAAGACGCUGGAGAUAAAGUCAUGCAAGAACAUGCGGUCGCUUCCAAAACUGCCCAAGUCUCUUGAGGAGAUUGCAGUCUGUUACUGCAGUGACGAGUUCACACAAUCUUGUGUAACGACUGAUGAUCCAAACUGGCAGAAGAUUGAGCACAUUCCAAAGAAAACAAUUAAAUUCUAUAGUGAAAAAGGUCCACACGAAAGACGGGAGACGAAGUCGAAGUCGAAGCUGUCAGACUGUUGCUAA